GGAGUCUGGGCCGUGUCUCAGUCCCAAUGUGGCCGUCCGGCCUCUCAGCCCGGCUACUGAUCGUCGCUUUGGUGGGCCGUUACCCCGCCAACUGGCUAAUCAGACGCGGGCCCAUCCCGUACCACCGGAGUUUUUCACACUGUCUGAUGCCAGACCGUGCGCUUAUGCGGUAUUAUCAGUCGUUUCCAACUGCUAUCCCCCGGUACGGGGCAGGUUGCCCACGCGUUACUCACCCGUUCGCCACUAAGUUAUCACAAGAUUUGACCGAAGUCUCGUCAGCGUGAUAACCCCGUUCGACUUGCAUGUGUUAGGCACGCCGCCAGCGUUCAUC
rnacentral:rRNA from 1 species